GUUUUUCAAUAACACAAAAGAUUGUUUUAUUGGUUGUGCACUUAUCGUUUUUAUCGAGGAACCAAGAUUCAUUUAUGUCUUUUACAAAAAGUGCAUACGAAAGGAGACGCAGUAGACGUGUUCAAAAGAAAUAUUAAAAAAUAUUAGAACUUUUAUCAGUACAUAUAGAAAAAAAAUCGACUGUUGAAACUUUUAAAAGAAAUGAGUUCUUAUCUUGCGAAAAUCUAAAAGAAUAUUUUGACCAUCAUGAAUCAUCAAUUUUGUACAAUGAAUACUCUUGUGACCAAAAGCCUAAUGAGUAUAUGCAUAACCCAACUUUGAAGGAAAGUUUUUCUGCAUGUUUUUUUAACCAAGUAAUGUUGCACUAAAGAAGUGGAUUGACAAAAAAUAGCAACAAAUUUAUUGUCCCAAAAAAAACUAUAAUCAUGCACUGAAAAACAACCUUUCAUCAACAAAAGAAUGGCACAAGUUUCCAUUGAUAAAGUGUAAGAUUACAGAUGGUCAGUAUAUAACUUGUUUUGUGUUUUUUUUAAAGGUAACUUAAUUAAUUUUUUAUAGAAAAGUAUUUUAUAAUUAGAUUUAUUUUCAUGUUUUGAAGAAUACAACUUUUUACAUCAGAUGAGAUAUAUGUUAAAGAAAGCAUUAAAAAUAAGAAUAACAAAUCAUACCGCUCUUCAUUGCCAGAACCUCCGCCACCUAUUAUGAAUAAGCCCAAUGCUAAAAGUAUAAAACAAAUAUCAUAAUUUUUUCUUAAUGGUUUAUAAACUGAAAUAGAUUCUUGUUUAAUUUGAUAUGAAUAAUAUUUAUCUAGUUAUUAGUCUUUUUUAUGUAUUACUAAGAUUUCCUUUUAUUUUAACUAUUUGAAUCUCCUAUUAUAUGUAAUGUUGUUAAAUUGGUUACAUACAUUUAUAUCAUUGACAACAUACUAUUGUAUUAAAUAAUCCUUUAAUCGACUUGAUAUGAAAAUUGAAAUUUGAUUGAAAGCAUGCUGAAAUUGUUUGAAUUCAGAAAUUGAAAGACUACAAAAUUGGUUAAAAGAUUAAAUUAAGUAACAGGUAUGGUUGAGGGAUUAUUUAUAGUUCUAAUUAUAAUUGUUUCUUUUGAAUAGAAUUGUUAUCAGAUUCAGAGAUUCAAGAAGAUGCUUUUUCUUCACAUUUUAUUGAUGAACACAAUAAAACCAAGCAAAGUUCACAUUGUCAAAGAGUUUCAAGUUUUAAUAGAUGCAAAAUGUUAUUCUCAAGGAGCUUGCAAAAAUAAAAGUUCUUUUAAAAGAAGUUAUAUAAAUUAAGUUUUAGGCUACUGGGGUAAAGUUGCUAGAAUCAGUGGACGAAAUGGUUACACUGGAUAAUAAACUAAAAGAUAAAACCGAGUAUACUAAUUUGCUUGAUAGUUUGAAAAAGAUUGGUUACGGAAAGCCAAAAGAACAUGUUUUUUUGAUCAUGAAAAGGACAUUUUCGAGUAAGAUACAGUCCAAAUUAAAUCGAAAAGGAAAUGGGGAAAAGUUAAACUUAGAAAAUCUAGUAAAUAUAUGGAGUGUUUUACGAGCUUUGAUUUUUUAAAAAGAGUUAUUAAUCUAAUCUUGCAACAGUAAAUCUUGAUAAUUUUACAAAAGAUAAACAACUUCACAAAGUCAAAUUCUUUCUCCUAUGACUAAUUUUAAUAGUUCUUACGUAGCAGAAUUUACAAAAUGUUCUGAAUGUUGAUUGUAUUCAAAACGCUAAAACGAAGCUUGGUAAUCUUCAUACCAUUUACUAAAAAUUAAAUAAUGAAAUAUAUAUUAAUGAAAGAA